rnacentral:rRNA from 1 species
GACGUAGGGGGCAAGCGUUGUUCGGAAUUACUGGGCGUAAAGCGCACGUAGGCGGCUUUGUAAGUUAGAGGUGAAAGCCCGGGGCUCAACUCCGGAAUUGCCUUUAAGACUGCAUCGCUAGAAUUGUGGAGAGGUAAGUGGAAUUCCGAGUGUAGAGGUGAAAUUCGUAGAUAUUCGGAAGAACACCAGUGGCGAAGGCGGCUAACUGGCCCAUUACUGACGCUGAGGCUCGAAAGCGUGGGGAGCAAA